GAGUUAUUGAAUGAUGGGGUUGCUCCUAGUGAAGUUGGAGGGUCCAGCUCCCAAUCACGAUAUUUGAAGGACCCUAAGAGAGUAACACACAAAGGAAGCUCGAAACGAGUCAAGGGAGCAAAGGAAAAGAGAAUGGAGCGAGGGAUCCGACAUUGUCAGCAAUGUGGACAAACUAGUCAUGAUAUAAGACGAUGUCCAAGAAUGGCGAACACAACGACAUCCCCGUCAAACAAUGAAGAAUCAACUCCGAUCAAUCUUAGUGACCCGUUAUUCGAUGAAUUUGAUAGCAUGCACGGACCUACCAAGUGAUUAUGUUUUUACUAUACGAAGCUCAUCAAUAUUGUUGGACCUAGAUUUUUGGCUUAUGGAAGAUUGUUGUCAUUGAGAACCUUCACCAAUUUGGCUUUUUUUUAUGACAGUUGGACCUAUCAACUCUUAAUUUUG